GACGAACGCUGGCGGCGUGCUUAACACAUGCAAGUCGAGCGGUAAGGCCCUUUCGGGGGUACACGAGCGGCGAACGGGUGAGUAACACGUGGGUGACCUGCCCUCAGCUCUGGGAUAAGCCUGGGAAACUGGGUCUAAUACCGGAUAUGACUCCAUGACGCAUGUUGUGGGGUGGAAAGCCUUGUGCGGCUGAGGAUGGGCCCGCGGCCUAUCAGCUUGUUGGUGGGGGAUGGCCUACCAAGGCGACGACGGUAGCCGGCCUGAGAGGCGACCGGCCACACUGGGACUGAGACACGGCCCAGACUCCUACGGGAGGCAGCAGUGGGGAAUCUUGCGCAAUGGGCGAAAGCCUGACGCAGCGACGCCGCGUGA
rnacentral:rRNA from 1 species